rnacentral:rRNA from 1 species
CAGUCGCCGCGGUAAUACGGAGGGAGCUAGCGUUGUUCGGAAUUACUGGGCGUAAAGCGCACGUAGGCGGCUUUGUAAGUUAGAGGUGAAAGCCUGGAGCUCAACUCCAGAAUUGCCUUUAAGACUGCAUCGCUUGAAUCCAGGAGAGGUGAGUGGAAUUCCGAGUGUAGAGGUGAAAUUCGUAGAUAUUCGGAAGAACACCAGUGGCGAAGGCGGCUCACUGGACUGGUAUUGACGCUGAGGUGCGAAAGCGUGGGGAGCAAACAGGAUUAGAUACCCCCGUAGUCCCUGUCUCUUAUAC